UUUUUUUUUAUGUCUAAUGUUUGACCGUUCGUCCUGUUUGAAAGAAAAAUAUGAUUAGUAGUUUUGUUGUUAUUAGAUGAUAAAAUAUAAAUACUAAUUUUUUUAAAAGGAUUUCAUAAAGUUUUCAAAUAAGACGGACAGUCAAACGUUGGACACGAAAAUCUAUAACUACACUUAAA
rfam:Oryza sativa Japonica Group DNA, chromosome 1, cultivar: Nipponbare, complete sequence.